rnacentral:miRNA from 1 species
AUGAACUCAGUCAAUGAGAGUGUGUUUUUUCUGUCAAGGUGCUUAAGUGCUAAGCACCUUGACAGAAAAAACACACCCUCGUUGACGCUGU